rnacentral:rRNA from 1 species
UACGGAGGGGGCUAGCGUUGUUCGGAAUUACUGGGCGUAAAGCGCGCGUAGGCGGACCUGCAAGUCGGGGGUGAAAGCCCGAGGCUCAACCUCGGAACUGCCUUCGAUACUGCGGGUCUCGAGUCCGGGAGAGGUGAGUGGAAUUCCUAGUGUAGAGGUGAAAUUCGUAGAUAUUAGGAAGAACACCGGUGGCGAAGGCGGCCAUCUGGCUCGGUACUGACGCUCAGGCGCGAAAGCGUGGGGAGCAAACAGG